UAUAAUGACCGCGGACUCAGGGGAGCCCGCACUUGAGCGAGGACCGACUUCUCAAGCGGGUCCACGCUGCUCAUGCUCGUGUCCACGGGUGGCGCGCUGUGACCGGGUGGGGGGCGAGCUGCGAGAAAUAGGAGGGGACAGGACCCCCAGAAUCCCUCCAUAGACACACACACAAUCAAGAGUAGGAGUUAGGAUCUUGAGAGGUAGAACUACCCCAGGCAGGGUUUCUCCAGCUGGGCCUUUGGACCCCGCGCGCGCCCAAGGGCGUGCCCGCCGCGGAAGCACGGAUUAUCUUCCCUGGACUGGGUCUCCGGGAGCGUGCGUUGCUCCCUUUUUCCUAGCGGCCCCUUCGCUGGCUGCCGCGAGGGGGGCGAUGUUCAUUAACUUGGAUACCCAACGCGGUUGAAAUAGGAGGAAAAAACACAUUUGAUCUGGGCCGACCCUUUGUCUUGAAGCAGAUUAGGCAGCCUAGAAAUAGGAGAAAAAAACAGAAAGUCUAGACAGGAAAACUUAUUGUGUUCACAAAAUAUAAAAAUGAUCCGAGCGGUCUGGUACCUCAAGGGGUGAAGAUAGAUCCUUGUAGACGAGUGCGAAGACUUGACUGGGAAGAUUUAAAGUGAAAGAAACGGCAGAUUAUUAAGAAAGUAAUAGUAAGGUGUCCCAUACACUACAGUUUUAUUGUUGGGUAGUAACUACCCGAUUUAUUUAUUGCCAGGGCUAUAUAAUAGAGAUAAUGACCGCAAACUCAAGAUAAAUUCUUAGGCGCCCAGCCGGUCAAUUCUUUUUUAUUUAAGAGAGUGAGCCUGAAAGGUGAGCCUCAUCCCCUCCCCUUCUUGAAAAUCCGUCUUGCUUUCUACCAUAUUAUAAGCAUGACAUGUAAAUAAAUAAGUGCUGCUGGGUCUGUGUGGGUAGGCCGGCAGGAUUUAUUUCAGGUGAGGGAGGAACAUACACUGAAUAUGAAUUUCCGCAGGAGCGGCGCCGUGAUUCCUUCUCUCUCCCUCUCGGCAGCCCUCUCCUCAGGGUCCCCCUCCUUUUCUGUGGGAGCAGAGAGCGUCCCUUGUUAAAAACAUUAAAGUGUCAUGUCUCAACUCCCUAUUCCUUGACAUAUAGGUCUGGGGAGGGAUGGGGGCACUGCAAAAUGCAAAACGCAUCCCCAAAGUUGGGUGACUUGCUGGGACUGCUGAAAGCGAUUCUGGCGGACAAAGAGACGGUCUGUUUUGAAAUUCAAAGUGUAAAAUGGGGAUAUGGAGGAAUGGGCAAGACUUGA
rnacentral:lncRNA from 1 species